rnacentral:rRNA from 1 species
AGUGACGGCUUUGCCAGACUGCACACAGGGGAUGAUUCCACUUCUAGCCCAUCAUCAAAUACUCUCCAGGAGUUCCGUGAUGGUUGGCUUGCUGCCGCCAAGCACCAGCUCAGCAUCAGGCCCAAGUCGCCGUCCCCUGAGGAGCGGAUGAAACGCAGACAGGAGCAUAAGCUCAAGGGCUUGGCCAUAGCGCUCAACACAUAUGCCAAGCGAAACAACAUGCAGAUCAAUGAGUUAGAAUUCGUGGAAGAGAAAGAGAGGAAUCAAGUCGAUGGAUGCGCAGCACUAUAUGUGCACUCAAACUUUCUGGUGAAAGGUUCAGAUGGCAAACAUACUAUGUUCUUUGCUGAGAUGCGUCCUGACUGCACAGAAGAGGAUGUUGUUCUCUGCACCCCUUUGGAAAGAAACAACUAUGGUCAUUGUUUCGGGUGCGAUGAUCGAGCAAAGGAGCUUAGGCAUCCCUCGGGCGGUGGCUACCUGGGUGGACACAAUGAGAUUUUUUUUCACUUGGAGGAGUUGGACAGUGAUGAUGAUUAUUUUAUGUGA